rnacentral:rRNA from 1 species
UCUAGAGUAGCACUCGCAUAUCAAUAAGCGGAGGAAAAGAAACUAACAAGGAUUCCCCUAGUAACGGCGAGUGAAGCGGGAAGAGCUCAAAUUUGAAAUCUUAAAGGGUUUCCCUUUACGAAUUGUAGUUUAAAGAAGUGUUUUCUGUUGAGGUUUUGGUAAAAGUUCUUUGGAAUAGGACAUCAUAGAGGGUGAGAAUCCCGUAUUUGACCUUUACUUUCAACUUUGUGAUACACUUUCAAAGAGUCGGAUUGUUUGGGAAUGCAGUCCAAAAUGGGUGGUAAAUUUCAUCUAAAGCUAAAUAUUGGCGAGAGACCGAUAGCGAACAAGUACCGUGAGGGAAAGAUGAAAAGAACUUUGAAAAGAGAGUUAAACAGUACGUGAAAUUGUCAAAAGGGAAGCGUUUGACACCAGUGUUGUUUUUCUGAAAAUCAAUUAAAGAACUGUUUAUGCUAAGCUGUUUAGACUUUAUCAGCUAACUGUUUAGUUUUGAGCUUUUCUUUAAUGCACUUUUCAGUUAACAAGUCAACAUCAAUUUCUUUUGCUGUAAAAAAGCUUGAGGAAGGUGGCUUGAGAUUCGUCUUAAGUGUUUAUAGCCUCUUGCCUAUGCAGUCGGAGAGAUUGAGGUCUGCAGCGUAGAUCCUUCGGGGCUAAAUGCAUUUGUGCUAAGUUAUAGCAUUUUAUAGACAACUUGUUGACUAUGAUUUGUCUUGUAGCUUACUCGCUUAUGUUAUUUUACCUACGCUUAGGAUGUUGAGCGCAUGUCUCUCUCU